rnacentral:rRNA from 1 species
UACGGAGGGUGCGAGCGUUGUCCGGAAUCACUGGGCGUAAAGGGCGCGUAGGCGGCCUGAUAAGUAGGGGGUGAAACCCUGCGGCUUAACCGCAGGGCUGCCUUCUAAACUGUCAGGCUCGAGCACAGUAGAGGCAGGUGGAAUUCCCGGUGUAGCGGUGGAAUGCGUAGAGAUCGGGAAGAACAUCAGUGGCGAAGGCGGCCUGCUGGGCUGUUGCUGACGCUGAGGCGCGACAGCGUGGGGAGCAAACAGG